rnacentral:rRNA from 1 species
GAUGAACGCUGGCGGCGUGCCUAAUACAUGCAAGUCGAGCGAACAGACGAGGAGCUUGCUCCUCUGAUGUUAGCGGCGGACGGGUGAGUAACACGUGGAUAACCUACCUAUAAGACUGGGAUAACUUCGGGAAACCGGAGCUAAUACCGGAUAACAUGUUGAACCGCAUGGUUCAACAGUGAAAGACGGUUUUGCUGUCACUUAUAGAUGGAUCCGCGCCGCAUUAGCUAGUUGGUAAGGUAACGGCUUACCAAGGCAACGAUGCGUAGCCGACCUGAGAGGGUGAUCGGCCACACUGGAACUGAGACACGGUCCAGACUCCUACGGGAGGCAGCAGUAGGGAAUCUUCCGCAAUGGGCGAAAGCCUGACGGAGCAACGCCGCGUGAGUGAAGAAGGUCUUCGGAUCGUAAAACUCUGUUAGUAGGGAAGAACAAAUGUGUAAGUAACUAUGCACGUCUUGACGGUACCUAAUCAGAAAGCCACGGCUAACUACGUG